UUCUUGACGACCAUAGAGCAUUGGAGCCACCUGAUCCCAUCCCGAACUCAGUAGUGAAACGAUGCAUCGCCGAUGGUAGUGUGGGGUUUCCCCAUGUGAGAGUAGGUCAUCGUCAAGAUU
rnacentral:rRNA from 2 species